UGGGGAAUAUUGCACAAUGGGGGAAACCCUGAUGCAGCGACGCCGCGUGAGUGAAGAAGUAUUUCGGUAUGUAAAGCUCUAUCAGCAGGGAAGAAAAUGACGGUACCUGACUAAGAAGCCCCGGCUAACUACGUGCCAGCAGCCGCGGUAAUACGUAGGGGGCAAGCGUUAUCCGGAUUUACUGGGUGUAAAGGGAGCGUAGACGGUGAUGCAAGUCAGAAGUGAAAGCCCGGGGCUCAACUCCGGGACUGCUUUUGAAACUGUGUAACUGGAGUGCAGGAGAGGUAAGCGGAAUUCCUGGUG
rnacentral:rRNA from 1 species